rnacentral:rRNA from 1 species
UGGGUAACCUGCCUCAAAGAGGGGAAUAGCCUCCCGAAAGGGAGAUUAAUACCGCAUAAUAUGUUUAAGUCGCAUGACUUUAACAUCAAAGGAUUUUCUUUUAAGAAAUUCCACUUUGAGAUGGACCCGCGGCGCAUUAGCUAGUUGGUGAGGUAACGGCUCACCAAGGCAACGAUGCGUAGCCGACCUGAGAGGGUGAUCGGCCACAUUGGAACUGAGACACGGUCCAGACUCCUAGGAG